rnacentral:tRNA from 1 species
AUUUAUAUAGUUUAUAUAAAACCCUUCAUUUUCAAUGAAGAAAUAAGAAUUUAUUCUUUAUAAAUA